rnacentral:rRNA from 1 species
ACUGAUUUCAACAAUGAAGCGAGUGGCGAACUGGUGAGUAACACGUGGGGAAUCUGCCCAGAAGCAGGGGAUAACACUUGGAAACAGGUGCUAAUACCGUAUAACAACAAAAUCCGCAUGGAUUUUGUUUGAAAGGUGGCUUCGGCUAUCACUUCUGGAUGAUCCCGCGGCGUAUUAGUUAGUUGGUGAGGUAAAGGCCCACCAAGACGAUAAUACGUAGCCAACCUGAGAGGGUAAUCGGCCACAUUGGGACUGAGACACGGCCCAAACUCCUACGGGAGGCAGCAGUAGGGAAUCUUCCACAAUGGACGAAAGUCUGAUGGAGCAAUGCCGCGUGAGUGAAGAAGGGUUUCGGCUCGUAAAACUCUGUUGUUAAAGAAGAACACCUUUGAGAGUAACUGUUCAAGGGUUGACGGUAUUUAACCAGAAAGCCACGGCUAACUACGUGCCAGCAGCCGCGGUAAUACGUAGGUGGCAAGCGUUGUCCGGAUUUAUUGGGCGUAAAGCGAGCGCAGGCGGUUUUUUAAGUCUGAUGUGAAAGCCUUCGGCUUAACCGGAGAAGUGCAUCGGAAACUGGGAGACUUGAGUGCAGAAGAGGACAGUGGAACUCCAUGUGUAGCGGUGGAAUGCGUAGAUAUAUGGAAGAACACCAGUGGCGAAGGCGGCUGUCUAGUCUGUAACUGACGCUAAGGCUCGAAAGCAUGGGUAGCGAACAGGAUUAGAUACCCUGGUAGUCCAUGCCGUAAACGAUGAGUGCUAAGUGUUGGAGGGUUUCCGCCCUUCAGUGCUGCAGCUAACGCAUUAAGCACUCCGCCUGGGGAGUACGACCGCAAGGUUGAA